CUCAGACGGCGGCGAGGUCGACGGCGGCGGAGAAGCGGAAUCGUCGAUCGCCGAUCGGGGCUAGGGAUGGGGCUCAACCGAGAGAGUAUGAGGAGAGGGGGCCGAGCGAGCGUUAAAAACAAAGAGGAGGAGGAGGAGGAGGUCGACGGCGCGUAGCUAGGGAUGUUUUAUAACGACGCUUAAAAGCGUCGUUGUUUCUCAAUGUUGUAACGACGCUCUAAAGCGUCGUUAUUGUUCCAGAUUUACCGACGCUAGAUCAAAGCGUCGGCAAAGGUUGGCGCUGAGCCAACCUUUCCCGACGCUUUCCCCUAGCGUCGGGAAAAUAUGGUCGGCAAAACCCACAUUUUCUGUAGUGAGACUCUUGCUCACUGAGGGACUCUAUCGCUUACCUUUCCUCCACUUUUCACUCCCAUCUCUGUUACAAAGGAAGCAGAUCGGGAGUGAUGCCGUCGGAGUAGGAGGCUGAGGCGCCAGGGGAAGUGAUCAAGCUACCGAAAGAGCUGCUUUGCUCCUCCUCGGAGCAAGGUAAUUGAAGAAUUGGCACUCAAACCCAAGGUUGGUGGGUGAAUUAGAUGAAUAGGAGAUGCUAGGAACAAGGAGCGUAACAUGCUUCAGGGUUAUGGAAAAGACGAAUGUUAAAUGCUGAUAUUAUUUUUAGAAGCUUUGUAUGGAUUUUAAUACAUGAACAUUUAAUGACUUUCAUGAAUAUAGUUGUUUACAAUUUGAAGUUUUAAA